rnacentral:tRNA from 1 species
GGCCAGUUAGCUCAAUUGGUUGAGUGUGGUGCUGAUAACACCAAGGUUGUGGGUUCGAUCCCUGCUCAGUCCC